GGUGGACACGUUAAUUAUAAUCUUCCUACCAAAUACAUACAAAUUGAACUUGAUAAUAAUUAGUUCGUGUGAAGUCUUGUGCCCUUAGUAUAGUGCUAAAUAACCCCGGAUUGGGGUUUUUCCCACCUACUGCUGCGGAAUAAUACUUCGGCUGUCUUGUUGGUCCUCUACGUUCCAUCUACUCUCCGCAACAGUGCAAGUUAAGUGGUGUUAAGUGCCGGAUACGGGAAUCCUAUGAGUGUGCGAGAACCCACCUAAAUUCUUAUAUAUUAAGUAAAUGGUAGAAAUCCUGUUGUGCCAAUAAAUAAUCUGUAAUACUAUCUAG